rnacentral:rRNA from 1 species
GGGUAUGGCUGUUCGCCAUUUAAAGUGGUACGCGAGCUGGGUUCAGAACGUCGUGAGACAGUUCGGUCCCUAUCUGCCAUGGGCGUUGGAGAUUUGAGAGGGGCUGCUCCUAGUACGAGAGGACCGGAGUGGACGAACCUCUGGUGUUCCGGUUGUCACGCCAGUGGCAUUGCCGGGUAGCUAUGUUCGGAAGCGAUAACCGCUGAAAGCAUCUAAGCGGGAAGCGCGCCUCAAGAUGAGAUCUCCCGGGGCACAAGCCCCCUGAAGGAACCAUGUAGACUACGUGGU